UGUACGAUAAGAAACCAACUGAAAGAGGCAAGAUCUUAGGGUAAGUAAAAGCAUCAGUGAAGAAAUGCAGAUUCAGAAUUUGGAAUCAAAUUUCGGUUAGUUGUCUCGCGAAAACGGCAGGGACUAAAGGUAGACAUAGACAGGUAGAUAUUUGGAUGUAAAACGUAGUAUUUAUUUAAUUGUUGUAAUAAGAACUCCUAUUAUGAUUUUAAUUAUCUAAUGCCAUAUAAAUUGUAUAUAUAUUUAUUAAAAAUAUUCGUAUAUUUAAUGUAUUACAAAUAUCUUUAAUACAUUUACUCACUGAAGUUUAAUCUUAAAUUGAAGUCCGAUUUUUCCUAUUAUUCUCUUAAUAAGAGACAUUUGCAAAUAAUCUUAAAAAUAAAUUGUAAUAUAAUACUAAUAUACUUUAGAUAAUGUUGUAGUGUACUUUUUUUACAAUCUAGAUAAAUUGUCCGAUAUUCUUGCACAAAUUGUAAUAUAAAUCGUUUUUGAUCUUAAUUUAAUGUUAACGUUCUGGAAUUAUAAGCGGAAAAAUAAGGAACUAUUAUGAAGACCUUGCAGAGUAGUCACUUGAAGAUAUUUCUUAUUUCAAAUAUGCACCCAUUGUAUCAGCAGACAUUGAAAGAAGCUUUUCGAAGUACAAGGCGAUGUUACGUGACAAAAGUAUAUUCUGUUACUUCAUAUUGGUACUCAUUUAAAAAUUCAUAAAAAUUGUUGUGCUAUAUACACAUGUAAAAUAUUUAAUCAUGCAUAUUUUUAAUUUCUUAUAUAUUUUAUAUAAUGCAUAAAUAUGUA